GGGGGGCGGGACGCCCCAGCCGCCGAAGCAGGGGUGAUCAUGUGACUCGCGGGGGCGGGGCUGCGCCGGCCGCUUCCCAGCCUGGCUGAAAGGGCUCGCGUAGCCGGCCCUGUCGGCCCUUAAAGCGGUCAGUGGGCGGCCAGGCCCCAGCUCCCCUUCCGAGCCGCGCAAAGGGAGCUGCUCCUGGCUCUCGUCCGCCCCCCAGGUUUGCUUUCCUUCCCUUCCCGAAGGUGGGCCCCGAGGUCCACCGCCGCGGAGGCUGCGGCCGCCGGGAAGCCCAGAGCCGAGUGUCCGGAGACUAACCGGAAGUGCGGUCCCAGGCGGAGGGGCGGUGCCGGCGGCUGCCGGGAGCUGGUUGGGAAGGACCUGAUGGCCGCCAGCAGCAGGUGCCUCUUGGAGGAGAAACAAAAUGAGAGGGCAGAAUUGCGUGCUGUGAAUACUUAUGGACCAGAGACCUUUUGAAGCCAGAAGGAACACUGUCUCGAGUCUUUGUUGUUACGAAGGCCGGCUGCCGAGAGAGACCGGACUCGCGGGGCGAGGAAGCCAGGCGCUCUCCCAGCUAGCUCCCAGGUAAGCC
rnacentral:lncRNA from 1 species